CCUACGGGAGGCAGCAGUGGGGAAUAUUGCACAAUGGGCGCAAGCCUGAUGCAGCGACGCCGCGUGCGGGAUGACGGCCUUCGGGUUGUAAACCGCUUUUGAUCGGGAGCAAGCCUUCGGGUGAGUGUACCUUUCGAAUAAGCACCGGCUAACUACGUGCCAGCAGCCGCGGUAAUACGUAGGGUGCAAGCGUUAUCCGGAAUUAUUGGGCGUAAAGGGCUCGUAGGCGGUUCGUCGCGUCCGGUGUGAAAGUCCAUCGCUUAACGGUGGAUCCGCGCCGGGUACGGGCGGGCUUGAGUGCGGUAGGGGAGACUGGAAUUCCCGGUGUAACGGUGGAAUGUGUAGAUAUCGGGAAGAACACCAAUGGCGAAGGCAGGUCUCUGGGCCGUUACUGACGCUGAGGAGCGAAAGCGUGGGGAGCGAACAGGAUUAGAUACCCUGGUAGUCCACGCCGUAAACGGUGGAUGCUGGAUGUGGGGCCCGUUCCACGGGUUCCGUGUCGGAGCUAACGCGUUAAGCAUCCCGCCUGGGGAGUACGGCCGCAAGGCUAAAACUCAAAGAAAUUGACGGGGGCCCGCACAAGCGGCGGAGCAUGCGGAUUAAUUCGAUGCAACGCGAAGAACCUUACCUGGGCUUGACAUGUUCCCGACCGCGGCAGAGAUGUCGUUUCCCUUCGGGGCGGGUUCACAGGUGGUGCAUGGUCGUCGUCAGCUCGUGUCGUGAGAUGUUGGGUUAAGUCCCGCAACGAGCGCAACCCUCGCCCUGUGUUGCCAGCACGUCAUGGUGGGAACUCACGGGGGACCGCCGGGGUCAACUCGGAGGAAGGUGGGGAUGACGUCAGAUCAUCAUGCCCCUUACGUCCAGGGCUUCACGCAUGCUACAAUGGCCGGUACAACGGGAUGCGACCUCGUGAGGGGGAGCGGAUCCCUUAAAACCGGUCUCAGUUCGGAUUGGAGUCUGCAACCCGACUCCAUGAAGGCGGAGUCGCUAGUAAUCGCGGAUCAGCAACGCCGCGGUGAAUGCGUUCCCGGGCCUUGUACACACCGCCCGUCAAGUCAUGAAAGUGGGUAGCACCCGAAGCCGGUGGCCUAACCCUUUGUGGAUGGAGCCGUCUAAGGUGAGACUCGUGAUUGGGACUAAGUCGUAACAAGGUAGCCGUACCGGAAGGUGCGGCUG
rnacentral:rRNA from 1 species